GCCCGGAUGGUCUAGUCGUAUGAUUCUCGCUUGUUCGUAUACCCGAUUCGGUCUAAUACUGUUUACACUUGUACUAAUCUUCUGAUAGUGGGCUAUACAACCUAAUUUGCGAGAGGUCCCGCGUUCAAAUCGCGGUUCGGGCC